CACCCCGGGACGGCGCCGCCGCCAUGUGCCGGCCUCACAGCCUGGUAUAACAUUGCCGCCAUGUGCCGGCCUCACAGCCUGGUAUAACAUCGCCUGGUAGAACAUUGCCGCCAUGUGCCACGCCUCACAGCCUGGUAUAACAUCGCCUGGAAUAACGCCACCGCCAUGUGCCGCGCCUCACAGCCCGGUAUAGUGCCACCGCCACUUGCUGCGCCUCACAGUCCUGCUACCAGGAACUGGUGCUGGUUUUGGGCCUCAUGACCCGGUACUCUCCUGCUGCUGUGGGCUAGGCCUCAUGCCUAGCAGCCCCAGCCCAGCCUCACACUGCUUGCUCUCUGCUUUGGUGAGGGCACACAGGGCCAUUGCCAUGCUGUUAGGUAAAGCAGCCAGUGUCAACAGAUGCUGGGGACUGAGCAGAUCGAGCAGCCCUGCCAAGAAGGACUUGGAAGUUCUGGUGGACACAAGACUUAACAUGAGCCAUCAGUGCUCACUUAAAGGCCAGAAAGCCAAUCGUGGCCUGGGCUGCAUCCAAAGCAGCAUGGGAGGGAGAGGAUUCUGCCCCUCCACUGUGUGGGAUGUGGCAGAACUGCUGGACACAGCCUUACCUGGGCAGUGGAGGGACAGUUGCUGGAGAAAAGCCCUGGAGCACAGGACCUGCAAGAGCUGCGGUUUCACUCGCCUCAGAAUUUGCAUAUGAAAAUCUCCGAAUUGAAAGGUGUUUAUGUUCCUUCUCAAGCAAGAUAAACAUAAAGAGAAUAUGAAGAUUGCAAGGUAAAAUAUUGAAAAGUUGUGAAAUAACAAAACCACAAUGCACUCUGUACAUUUUUGUAAUUAAAUUUGUGCCUUCCAAUGGUGCACAAUUGCAUACUGUCUGUUCUGCAAAGCCUGGAGUCCUUGGACAAAUUGGACAAAUACGCUCUGAAGAAAAAGUUAGCAGAAGCUGAUAGAACAAUUGAAUUUCAUGCAGUUGGGCAGCAUUCAUGUACUGUAGACUGUAGCAGUGCAGCUAAGCUUGCAAGUUAACUAGUCUGAAUUACUCCAUCUGUUAUUACAGUCUACUGGCCUGGGACUUAGUUGCUAAAUGUCUCAGUUGCUAAAGAGACAUUCCUUCACCUAGAAAGGUAUUGACAGCAAUCUCUCAUCAGUUUCUGGGUUUUGCCUUAAAAAGCACAAUCUGUGCCAGAGAAAUUGAUUGAUUGCCAUAUCCUUCAAUGGACCAAACUGCUUCUAUUGCUUGUUGCGGGUUAAAAAACUGGGGGAAGCACUACUAAAUUACUGUGACAAAUACACCUAAUGAUGAUUUUUUAUUAUUAUUUUUAUUUUAAACUCUCCUAAACUCCAUCUUGUGUCUAGUCACUAUUUGAACGUGAUCUGGGAGUGAGAAGCAAUUGUCUAGUCCUGAUUUUGUACGUCAGUAAAACACCUGGAGCAGAGUGGGGAGGUCUUGCUCAUUAGCACUGAAGUUUGGGUUUGUUUAAUAUUGUUUGUUAUUCUUUGAGGCUCUAGACGCAGACAGCAAGUACCAACCCGUAUGACAUUGCAACUGGAGCUGCUGCCAAAGCUUCAUUAGAAUAGAUGUGUUCAGAUGGGAAGCCUGUAACUAUGAAUGCACAAACAGAUACUAAAUGAACAUCUGCAACACAAACACUAUUCAACACAUGUAUGCUUUACUCAUUUAUUCCAUAAGGUACACUUGUAAAAUUGAUUGCAUUUGGUCUGCUGUGGUUUGUUCUUACAGGAUCAUACCUUCAGGAAUUUGGCACAAGUAUAAACACUGAGGGGUGAUCUAAUGUGUUUAUAAGAUUAUUUUGUAAUGCUUGUUAGGCACAUGGAACAUGUUUAUAGUGUCCUUUUCAAGACAAUAUGAAAAGUCUCAAGUAUGCAACCCUGAAGAAAGCAUAAGCUUCCAGUCUUUGGAAGUAUGCUUCUGUAAAUGAAGAAGAAAAUGCCAACCCAAACUAUAAUCUGCCUUUUUAAACACUUCCAACAUAUCAUUAUGCAGAAUAAUAAUAAAAAAUUAGCAUCUAGGAGAGCCAGUGCCUCAUCAGCAUGUGUAUAUUUCUCCUGUCAACAUUACCCUAGCUCACCAGAUGAAAACACAGUCUAAACUGCUUGAAGUUACAAGAAAUGUGUGAGUUGGAUGAGCUGUAUCAGAGUGGAAAUGGCUACAGAGCCAUCACUAUUAAAAAUCCAGUUUUUUCAUUUGGAAGCAAAAUAAUUUUUUUUUUUUCCAAAACAGUUUUUCAUGGCAGCUUUGGUUAAAAGAAGUUCAGUAGAUUAACAUAAAUUGACAUAAUUUAGUUUUUAUUUAAGAAAUUGAUCUUGAAAAAAUGAUGCUAUGUACAUCUACUUACUGCAUCUGCUCACCCAGUUCUUAGAGCAGAGGCACAGGGCAUACACCUUGUCUAUUGGAUUUUUAUCCUUCCUAUUCAAAGAAAUUAAAUCCAAAACAUCUACUGCUCUAUGUAAUCCACAUAGUAAAGAAUAUCCAAGGAAACGGCUCUUUGGUUUAGCCUCUGCAUCCACUUCUACUCAAUGAAGUAAUUCAGCAGUAAAGAACAUUGUUCCACUGAGGUGGUUCCAGACUGUCUUAUAUUGACAGAGUCUUAAAGAGCAUGAAAGGUGCCAUAACACCAACUGAACAAAUGGUCUGGACGUCUUGUUGAAAAAUUACACUACUGGGUAAUGUUUGCAGUCAUAUUUACUGCUUUAAAAAAAAAAAAGUGAGUAAUAUAUAUUUAUUGGAGCAGUUGUCUUAUUGACAGCAAUUGUCAUACUGACAGCAGCUAUACUGCAAAAAUCCUUCAGCUAGAUUGGUUUCCUCUCUCACAAGCCUUGUCAGAGAAAGAAAGGGUGUUGUCUGUUACUUUGCCAAGAUACUGUAGUUCAUUAAAAUAUGGUGAACAGAUAUUCAACAGCAUGUGCCCUUGUUAACAGGAAGUGAAAAUUUCUUCUAUGAUGCUUCCUUUUGUUGUGAUUUGUAAAAAUUAAUUAACUCAUGCAAAAUAUUAACCAUUGCUUAUAUAGGAUUACAUAAGCAAACCACAUCCUUUUGAGCAGACAA